rnacentral:rRNA from 1 species
UACAGAGGUCUCAAGCGUUGUUCGGAUUCACUGGGCUUAAAGGGUGCGUAGGCGGGUUGGUAAGUCAGUGGUGAAAUCUCCAAGCUUAACUUGGAAACUGCCGUUGAUACUAUCAAUCUUGAAUCUCGUGGAGGUAAGCGGAAUAUGUCAUGUAGCGGUGAAAUGCUUAGAUAUGACAUAGAACACCGAUAGCGAAGGCAGCUUGCUACACGAGUAUUGACGCUGAGGCACGAAAGCGUGGGGAGCAAACAGG